ACAAAGAAACCUCUAAAGCAUGGCUACUUUCCUCUGUUAUACGUCCAUUUGACAGUUCAUAGAAAAAAUUGUUUAUCCGAGUCAGAGGAGAUUUUCCUAUUUUAAUAAAGCGAAAACAGUUGUAGCAAAUUUUGAGCAGUACUUCUCUGGGUUCGCUCUUAAAUCUCCUCACCGACAAGAUUUGUCGGCCAAUCACCACCAAAGAAACCGUUACAAAUUUCCGUUGUAUUCGCGUUUAAAACGGCCUAGGUCCUAGUGCACAUUUGUCAUUUACGGCGUUAACCACUCCCGUGGUCUGCGGCAUUUUUGCAAAAAUCGUGAACAAUAGACCUCAAACAACAAAAUCAGAAUGGCCGUAAACGUGUAUGCGACGAACGUGACGACCGAGAAUCUUAGUCGACAUGAUAUGCUGGCAUGGGUCAACGAUUGCCUUCAGUCAUCGUUCACCAAAAUCGAGGAGUUAUGUACCGGCGCAGCGUAUUGCCAAUUCAUGGACAUGCUCUUCCCAGGAAGCGUUCCACUCAAGCGAGUCAAAUACAGGACCAACCUCGAGCACGAGUACAUACAGAAUUUUAAAAUACUUCAAGGUGGCUUUAAGAAGAUGAAUGUAGAUAAGAUUGUACCAAUCGAUAGGCUGGUGAAAGGGAGAUUCCAAGACAACUUUGAGUUUUUGCAGUGGUUCAAGAAGUUUUUUGACGCGAACAAUGCAGGAACAGAAUCAUACGAUGCCCUUGCAAUGCGCGGAGGAGAAGCGAUGGGCAGCGGUGGUCACAAUGCGCCUCGUGGUGCCGGGAUGGUCAAGCGUCAAACCCCUCGUGAACUGCCACCCAAACCUGCCUCUCGAACUGGUGAGGGACCUCCAUCUCCAGUUCAAAUGCCUACCAUGAAGUCGUUAGGCCGAUCUUUGAACAAAGUUCAGCCAAGUCGUCCCGUGCCAAAAACUGGAAACCUUGGAAGUCGUGGGGAUACGGGAAAAGUAGACGAACUUAGUUCGCAGAUCAUGGAUUUGAAAAUGACAGUCGAUGGACUCGAGAAGGAAAGAGAUUUUUACUUUGGCAAACUGAGAGCGAUCGAAGUUAUGUGCCAAGACUGCGACAACGGAGACCCUCCACCAAUUGUACAGAAGAUUCUAGAUGUUCUUUAUGCAACCGAGGAUGAAGGAAAUGGCCAGGAGUGCGAAGAACAGACCUUUUAGAUUCUACUCAAUUUUCCUUUUUCUUUUUGUGUAAAAGAUCGUUUAAAAAUGAAGGAUGGUUUCGCGCCUCCCGAAGAGCUGGAGGGUGACGGGCUAGCCCCUGACGACGAGGAGGAAUAUUAACCUUAAUAUUAUAAACUCGAAGUAUCAUAAACAAGAGCAAUUAAGACAAGAAUGUUUUGAACACUAUGCCUGUGCGCUAGUAUCAGUACACCUUGCAUAAUUAGUCUGCUAUUUUAUAUAGCUCACUAAGCGUUUACGCGUCUUUUUUUUUGUUCCUUAAUUUUGUUAAAAAGUUUAUAAAGGCCAUCGGAAUCUCCACAGAGAUUCUCUUCUUGAUCUGAAGUCUCGGAAUAGAACAAAUUACGCUAUUUACGCAUAUAAAUUUUUUGUCUUUGCUACUUCGUUAUUGGGGUUCGAAGCACCCGAGAAAGCUACUCUUCGAAUCGUUUAUAAUAUUAUCAAUUUUGGCCGUCAGUCAUGACUUCAAGGUACACUUAAGAACGACAAAUCAAUGAAUGCAAAUAUAGUAUGUUUCCCAAAUUCUCUCUGUGUUUAUAUGUGCGAGUGUUAAUCUUUUAAUAUACCUUUGUAUCGAUAUUAUCAUACUGUAAAAUAAAGUUUUUAGUUUUGGUUCUAA